CUGCCUUGAGAUCAUGUCCACUGGAGCACCAAUUCUAACCCUACCACUUUUCUUCCUUUCCAGCAAAAAAGAGAAAAACAGAAGCUAAAAGAAAGUAAUAGCCUCUCAGAUGCUUUGCAUUUACUAAAAAGUCUAAAAAAUGAUUGACAAAUGAUGGAUUGAGUCAUUCUGACUGGGCUGCUAGUACAUGGAAAUACGCUAACUGGCAGAAAGAUGAUUCACUCAGCCAUGUUGCGUGAACGCAGCCAUGAUGACUUAAUCUAUUAUUCAGAUACACAACUGGAUAUCAUCAACAUCCUGAGGAUACCACAUCCCAAAUCAAUGGAUGAUCUCUUCCAGUGGAUUCAGAGUUCCUUGGUGAAUUAGGAGCAUCCUGGGAUUGGUGAACAAAGAAAGGCUGUUCAGAGGCAAUCACUCAAAGCAUCCUGGUCACCUCCUGAUUCAACAUUAAAUAAAGGCCUCAAUGGAACUUUAUCUAUCAGAUCACUAGGAAAUCCCCAAAACCUUAUUGGACUUUAUCAGGAUCUGUAAAAUGACUUACAGAUCCUGUAAAUCUUAAUCCUGUAAACCCUGUAAUCUUAACUGGUCCUUCUACCUAUGGAGGUCUUAGGUUGCAACCAUGGCAAAGGACUCAAAGUAAUAUCUUCCAUUUUCAGUUCACACAGCAGCUGCUCUGGGGCACAUGCAAGAUGAAGCUUAUGUCCACCAGCAUG